rnacentral:rRNA from 1 species
AGAGUUUGAUCCUGGCUCAGCACGAACGCUGGCGGCAUGGUUAAAACAUGCAAGUCGAACGCGAAAGUACCUUCGGGUGCGAGUAGAGUGGCGAAAGGGCGAGGAAUAUAUUUCUAACGUGCCCCAAGGUCGAGGAUAGCUCGGGGAAAGGUGUGGUAAUACCUGAUGAUCUCAACCCACCGAAUGAUGGGUUGGGCAAAGGCUUGCUGCCUGGGGAUCGGGAAACGUGGUAUCAGGUAGUUGGUGGGGUAAAAGCCUACCAAGCCUAAGACGCCUAGCGGGUGUGAGAGCAUGACCCGCCGCAUCGGAACUGAGACACUGUCCGGACUCCUACGGGAGGCUGCAGUAACGAAUCUUCCGCAAUGAGCGAAAGCUUGACGGAGCAAUGCCGCGUGUAGGAUGAAGCCUUUCGGGGUGUAAACUACUGUCAGGAACUAGGAAACAAUGACCAAUUCCAAAGGAAGGGCCGGCUAACUUCGUGCCAGCAGCCGCGGUAAUACGAAGGGCCCGAGCGUUGAUCGGAUUUACUGGGCUUAAAGAGUGCGUAGGCGGAUGUGUAAGUAUCCUGUGAAAUCCCACUGCUCAACGGUGGAACUGCGGGGUAAACUGCACAUCUUGAGGUCGGUAGGGGCUGUCGGAACAAUAGGUGUAGCGGUGAAAUGCGUAGAUAUCUAUUGGAACGCCAAUGGCGAAGGCAGACAGCUGGGCCGAUUCUGACGCUGAGGCACGAAAGCGUGGGGAGCAAACAGGAUUAGAUACCCUGGUAGUCCACGCCGUAAACGAUGUGCACUAGAUCCUGGAGCCUCUGACGGUAUCGGGAUCGUAGAGAAAUUGAUAAGUGCACCGCCUGGGGAGUACGGCCGCAAGGCUAAAACUCAAAGGAAUUGACGGGGCUCACACAAGCGGUGGAGCAUGUGGCUUAAUUCGAAGCAACGCGAAGAACCUUAUCCUGGGUUUGACAUGUAUGGAUUAACUCCCUGAAAGGGGAGCCACGCCCUCUGGGUGGAACAUACACAGGUGCUGCAUGGCUGUCGUCAGCUCGUGCUGUGAAGUGUCGGGGUAAGUCCCUUAACGAGCGAAACCCCUGUCGCUAGUUGCCAGCGAGUCAUGUCGGGGACUCUAGCGAGACUGCCGGUGUCAAACCGGAGGAAGGUGGGGAUGACGUCAAGUCCUCAUGGCCUUUAUGUCCAGGGCUGCACACGUGCUACAAUGGCAUGUACAGAGCGACGCGAUACCGCGAGGUGGAGCAAAUCGCAAAAAGCAGGCCCCAGUUCGGAUCGCAGUCUGCAACUCGACUACGUGAAGUUGGAAUCGCUAGUAAUCGCGUAUCAGCUACGACGCGGUGAAUACGUUCCUGAGCCUUGUACACACCGCCCGUCAAGUCAUGGAAGCCGGGAGCGCCCGAAGUGGUGCAGAUUCAUGCAUCCCUACGGCAGGCUCGGUGACUGGGACUAAGUCGUAACAAGGUA